UCAUCUGUGUAUGAUGUAGAACUGGACAUACUAAACCCAGCUCAGCCCAAUGGCUUUAUGGAAGGACACCUCAAGUUUCUUGUACCAGGUCUUGUUGUGACUGCUUUAGGGACACAGGGCGCAGACCCUGUGCUUGUGCUUGUAGAUGGUUUGGGUCUUUCUUGGCUUACUGGUUCUGGCCCAGAUGUAUCCAAGAUGACUCCACACUGUCCAGGAGCCAUGGUAGUUUGGGCACAGCACAAAUAGAUGACCCACAUUUGCAUCUGAUGCUGUAUAUGACAAGUGAACCCCUAUGGAGCUGAAGGCUGCAGCUCUGCAGCAACCAGUCUGGGAAUAGGACUGAGCUGCAGUGUUGUGGAAUCAGCGUUCACUAUAAGGAGACUGAUGCUUCGGAAAAAAUUCAAGCAGCUCUGAUUAUUUUUUUUUCCCCACAAACUCUUGUCUGGCAUGGGAGGACUUGGAACAGAGCGAUACUGGCUCCGGCGACAACAGGAAACCGCGUUUUGGAUAACCCAUCACAGUGCAAGCUUUCCAGCCGUUUAAGGGCUUUUCUGUGGGGGGUGGGAAGGAAAGGCUGUCCAUCAUCCAAAGUCCCAUUGCAGUCAGUGGGAACAGCGCCUGUGACCGCAAAGGUCUUUGGCAAAGACCACGAGCAUCUGAAGGCUGCCUCUGAGAAACGGGCAUGGGCUCGCAGCUCCCCAUGGGGGUGCAGCCCAGAAGUGGCUUCAGGAAGAGAGAGUGCUCUUUUACUGGUCAUCUCAGUGCAUCAUUCAUUAAAUAUAAGGCCCUACAGGAAAACCAGGGCUUCGUGUUCUCCGUGCCCCUCCUGCAUCAGCCCUGACGUCAGUCGUUUCAAACCAUGGAAGUUAAAUUGAGGCCAGCACAGUCUAAUAGGCAAGGGAGAGCAAAUGCUAAGAAGUCAAGGUCCCUGCUGUGGAGGUGUCCUGGCUUGUGUGGAGCUACCUUGCUGUGGCCUCUGCUGGGAAAUCCUCAGGGAAUCGGGAUGGGGUCCUGUCUUCCAGAUGAUUUACCUGCUGCUUCCUGUAGCAGGUAUGUGACCCGAUUCUCUCCUCUUCUGCCUCCUGCCUUAACUUCAGUGGUGUUAAGCCAGAAGAUGUUUGAGGCUUCACUGAUGCUAUGGGUCUGAAAAGCCAUAGCUGACUGAAAGAGAGUAGAGUCCUCUUCACCAUGUUUCCUCGCUCCUUCCUCUACCCUGCAACUGAAGCAAGUAAGUGCCCACAGCUCAUCCCUCUGUGUAAGAGGGAGUCUCUGCUGCCCAGACAUACUCCUGGUGAGUGACUUGUACCUCUGCCAAACAGCAGUGGCUGGCAGGACAAUGGGCCUGAAUUUGUCCCUGUACACUGCUUUUUCUCCAUGUAACUUCCAUGUAACUACUGAUCUGUGGAGUUACAUCUGGCAGAGGAGGUGUCACACCAUCCCCAGUUAUCUUCCAGCUUGGUGGAACUGAAGAGUUGGUGUGGAGCUAAAUUGCUUCCACCAGGCACUGCCCAGACCCCAGUUGUUUGGUGAUGCACAUUUUAUCAUGGACAAGAGCUGAAGGUAAUUUGCCCCAAACAUAGCUGUUUGGGGCAAAAUACCUUCACCUUCCUGAACUGCACAGGGUCUUAAGAAAAAGGUCCUCUCCACUGGGUCAUCAACAAGGUCUCCAUGUCCACAUGCCCCACAGUCCUCUGAAAGGACUGCCGUGAGGCGUCUCCCUGGAAGCACUCUCAAAACCAACACCUGAAGUUGCAUGGCAGGCACCCUGCAGUAGAGACACCAUUAAAGACUGGCAACAUGGUGAGCACAGCUUAAUGGGUUGUGUCCCUCAGAAAUCCCUUCCAGUCUCCCAAUUCAUAUGCCCUUGUGCCGUGAACAGCUCUACUCUGCCUUCCUAAAAACUGAAAAUUUAGCAUCCAAGUUGUAUUCUUAGCCCAAGCACCUCGAAAUGCUCCCAGUGAGCAGGGCUGGGGUCAGGCAGGAAGGGAGAGGGAGGGAGGAAGCGAAGACGUGCCCAUAGUGGUGACAGAUCCUCCGAGGUGGUGUGGGGAGGGCUUGGCAACCCUUUCAGCACUGUCCUAUUGCAACAGGAGGGAGGAGGAUAUACAGAGAUUACUUAAAAGCCCCCAACUUUCUCCAGGCCUCUA
rnacentral:lncRNA from 1 species